rnacentral:rRNA from 1 species
UACGAAGGGUGCAAACGUUGCUCGGAAUUAUUGGGCGUAAAGCGCACGUAGGCGGACCUGCAAGUCGGGGGUGAAAGCCCGAGGCUCAACCUCGGAACUGCCUUCGAUACUGCGGGUCUCGAGUCCGGGAGAGGUGAGUGGAAUUCCUAGUGUAGAGGUGAAAUUCGUAGAUAUUAGGAAGAACACCAGUGGCGAAGGCGGCUCACUGGCCCGGUACUGACGCUGAGGUGCGAAAGCGUGGGGAGCAAACGGGG